rnacentral:lncRNA from 1 species
CCGUUUAAUAAUUUUAUUUUAUUUUUGUUAAAUUUUUAUGAGCAUAUAGUGUUUUUUUGCUUGGUAAUGUAACUGUUUUUUUGAGCAACUUCUAACUACAAAAAUAUACAUUUUGAAUGUUUUCAAUUACGUUUUUUUUUAACAUAAAUGAACUUUUUAAGCUAUUUUUAGGGCCAUUUUUGAAGUUACUAAACUCAUGCUUUUUAGUUUUUGUUUCUAUCUAUUACUCAAUUAUAAAAGCAAAAUGACAAAAUACUUCAUACUUAAUUAACCAACUAGUUUUUCAAUUGGAGAUUAUAUGCCGAACUAGUUUUUUAAUUAACAAAUAUUCUUGGAUCAUGAAGAUGGUGAAAGAUUGCAUUGCCGUUUUGAUUAAGAAUAUGGAACGUUUGAAAACCUUGGUAAGUAUUUUGUUAAAAGCACAAUGUCAUACCCUGCAGUUUUUUCAGGCAACUAGUUAAUGCGGUCGAAGUAUACAAACAUUUGGUUUAAAUUGUAAUGGUUAAAAAAUAUGAGAUCUAAUUUAUUUAAAUUGAAAAUAUGAGUUAAUUUUGUCACUAAAUUUAAACCUUGGGUUUAAUAUGUAAUUUCGUAAUCAAAGACACUUGCACAAAUUAUAUAGGCAGCGGAAGAAAUGCUAAUUUUAAUUUCAAACAAACCUUCCCAAUCUUUUUUUCCUAAUUCCAUUAAAUGUUGGUUGGAGUUAAAUUUUGCUGGAACCUGUAAAUUCACCUAAUGUAUAGGGAAAUGUGACGCCGUCUCAACAAUUGAGGUGCUUUCCCUGUGGCUACUUAGUUGGAGGUCUAAGCUUUUUGUGCUUGGAUUCUCCUAGACUAUGCCUUGAUGCUCUCUCUCUUUUUUCCCCCUUUUCUCCGGGCAAUUGAGGUGUAAUUUUGAUUAAUCGGUGAAAAUAAUUUACUAAAGAUAAAUAAAAGGUGAAAAGCAAAAUAGAUAAAAAAAAAUUAUCCCAAAUAGAAAGAAAAAUGAUUUUCAUACGUUCAUUUUCUUUAAUUGUAUUUUUCUUAUGUUUAUUGAAAUUAAAUUAUGCAAUUAUCGUAAUAAAAAUAUUUGAGUAAAAAUAAAUAUUUAAAUAAAUUUAUCAUAAUAAGGACAACAAAAUCUAUAAUAUAUGACACAAGUAUUUUUGAAUCUUUCAAAUUAUCUCUCACUAUUUACGGAUGAGAUCUAUUUGAGUUAAUACAAUGUCUGAAAUUUCACCUGAGACUAUUUUUUCUCCAAAAAAAAUAUCACUUCUUUUUUUCUCAAAGGUGUGUGUGGCCCACGUAGGUUGUAAAAAUCACAUGGUCAAACUAGCAACACUUUUUCAAAAUCAUUAUAUUUUUUAAUUUAUUCUUUAUUUUGUAGUAAUCUAUCUCUUAUAUGACGUUUAUAUCUUAUAUGUUUUUUAGGUUAUACAAAUUUUAAUGCACACGGAUGCGAUUUUUUUUUUUUUUACAUAAUGUCCGUGUGCACGGAUAAUUACUAACAGCUUAAUAUGAUCAAUUUAAUUGGUUUAGUAUUUUUCUUACAUCCCUAGGACUUGGGUUUGAUCGGAGAUUAUAUGCCGAAUAAAUUUUUUAAUUAGUAAAUAUUUUUGAACCAUAGAGAUGGCGGAAGAUUGUGUUGCCGUUUUGAUUAAGAAUAUAGGACUUCUGAAAAACCAUGGUAAGAAUAUAUCCUGCAGUUUUUUCAGCCAGUUAGUUAAUGCGGUUUCAGCCAGUUAGUUAAUGGGGUCAAAUGAUACAAUCAUUUGGUUUGAAUCGUAAUGGUUAAAAAAUAUGAGAUUUAAUUUCUUAAAUUGAAAAUAUAAAGUUAAUUUUGUCACCAAGUUUAAACUUUGGGGUUUAAUUUGUAAUUUCUCAAAAAAAAAGCAUUAAAAGUUAGAACUCAAAUCCAAUACCAAUCGGAGGCCGAUUCACUUUUGGGUUCUCUCUUGGCAAUUGCGAACUGCGAAGGCGACGUGAUUCUAGGGUUUGCGACGAGAAGAAGAUGAAAUCGGGAGCGACGAUCUGUGUGGAUGCUGAGCCCUAUUUGAGGGUGAAGGAGGAAGUGGAGGAAAAACAUGGCCUUCAAAUUGUUGGCGAAGGCGACGAGUAUUGCCUGAAGCAAAGCGACGAAAUAAGUGGAAUCGUAACGACGACCUUUUUGGGAUCCUGGAUGAUGUGGCUAAGCCCCUUUCGAGAGUGAAGGAGGAAGUGGAGGAAAAUCACGGCCUUCGAAUUGGGGGCGAUGCUAUGUUUUAUGCUCAUAUUCUUAUCGGAGGAAAGUUUGGAGAAUGUCAAAUUGGUAACUGUUAAUUCUCUCGUCUAUUACAUCUGUUGCUAUCCGUAUGUAAUCAAAUUUUGUUGUUGCUGCUGCUGCUGUUGUUAAAUCUCGUCUUUUCAUAAUUUCGGUUGAUUUUGGAGCUAUUCGUAGCCAUGGAUGGACGCAGACCUUGGGGCGGAUGGACAUACAUGGACGAAAAACUUGUGUCGAUUGCCUGAACAAAUUAUAUCAAUCUAGUAGAGUGCUAUUUUGUACAUCCACCUGGGUGAAUAUUACCCCAUUUAGAAUAGUAGACCCCGCAAUUUAGCCAUCACAGAUAGGAUAUUGAUGUGGGUGAACAAAAUAGCACUCACAUAAUUAAACUGAAACAUUAGAAGAAGAGGAAGAAUGAGAAGCUAAAAAACCUUUAGCUUGGUGGAUAUGACAAUGAAAAAGAUCUCCCCUGACAUGAGAUUCUUUCGUCAUUUGGCAUAAUUUUCUAAUAGAAAAGUUUAUCUGUUGGCCGAGUUUUUUUUCUAUCUGUGAAGACUGGCAGAACACGCUAUGGCCCGAUAUUUUCGUCAGGUGUUUAUCUGGGAUUUUCCUACCUUUGGAGAUUGGAUGCCUCCGUGCAUUCGCUUUGCACGGCAGAUUAGUUUUGUCAUUUCUAGCCCAAACCCACAAUUUAGAAGGUCGCCUUCUUUAUAAAAAAAUUGUCAAAGGGAAACAUAUGUAUCAUUUUUUGUUAGGCUUGAACAAAAAUCUCGAUGAAUUAGAGGACGACUUAUGGGCUUAAAAACCUCUGCCGCACCUCAGAGAGGCAUUUUAUGAACUCCGUCGUGAAAAAUUCGAAAAAAGCUCGUGAUGGGACCCCAUCAACAACUGAAAUAGGCAAGAAAGCUCUGUUUUUAAAACUCAUAUUCACUCCUUCUAAAACCGUCAAAAAUAAAGGAGGAAGGCCUUGGUGUGAUCAGUGUGGAAAGCCAGGUCACUCAAUAGAAACUUUCCAGAAUAUUCAUGAAAAAACAGCAGAUUGGAAGCCAUAUCAACUACUUGAGAAAGAAAGAUGUCCUUUUAUGUCAGCGUAGUCACAAACUGGUUCGUCUUCAAACAAUGUCAUUGAUUCCGGAACCUUGGCUCACAAAGGUAAUUCUUUAAGUGCCUUUAUUAUUGGUAAGAAAUUUAAAAAAUUUUGGAUCAUGGACUCGAGAGCAUCUGAUCAUAUGAGGGGAGAUAUAACAAUUUUUUAUAUAUAUAGCUUAUGUCCAAAUAAUCUAACGGUCCGAAUAGCGAAGGUUACCGAUAUAGGUUCAGUUGUGCUAUCACAGGAUCUUAAUCUCAACUCUGUUCUUCUUGUUCCUAACUUGGACUAUAAUCUAUUGUCAAUUAGUAAACUUACUAAAGAAAGGAGGCAUGUUACUAAUUUUUUCUCCAUUCACUAUGAAUUUUAGGAUUUGGAUUCGAGGAAGACGAUUGGCAAUGCUGAGGAAUACUCCAGACUCUCCAUCCUUAAGGAUCGCAACUAUCCACAAGAACAAUCUCAAACGACAUUUAGUGGUAUUCUUUGUUUUUAUUUGUGUCAAAAUAACGAUAGUGCAAUCAUGUUUGGCACUAUCAGUUAGGCCUCCUAAUGUUAUGCAUCUCACGCUUUAUUUUCUUCAUUAUUAUUCCUCCCCAAUCCCACCUCCUUUUUCUUUUUCCCUCUUUCCCUUCUCCCCUCCCCGACCCCCUCCGUUUCUUUCUUCAUUUUUCAUUCACCCCCUAUAAAGCUCUAAUCUUCUCAAUGAUUCCAUAGCGAUAUAUGGGGCUGUCCAGAUAAAAAAUUUAACUGGUUCUAUGUGGUUUUGGUCUCCUUAAUAUAUUAUCACACUAGAUUAACCUGGGCAUUCCUCAUGAAAGAAAUUUUGAAACGGGUUCAAAUCUUCAAAAAAUUUAAAAAUAUGAUUUAACUCAAUUUUAGUCAAAAAUACAAAUUCUAAAGCUAAUAACGCUAAUGAUUAUUUCAACUCUAUUCUAAGUUCAUUUCUAGAAAAAAAAAAAAAAAAAUAAAAGAGAGGAUAAUUCACUCCAAGUUUCCAUGUGUAGAUACACCAUAACAAAACGGAAUCGCUGGAAAAAAAAUAGGCAUUUGUCAAGGUGCGAGAUCGUAAUGUGUUUUUUUUUCUCCACAAAUGUUCCAAAAUUAUUCUGGGGGGAAGUUGUACUUUGGUGGCCUACUCAUCAUAGGAUUGCCGUAUAAGGUACAAACAUUCCCAAUGCUUUGUCAAAAGCGCUUAAAUCAUUUUUGAUACUCAUCGUUAUCUUCACCAUCCAAAUUUUUGGGUGGCUCAGUCUUUGUUCAUGUCCAUCAAUAGUAUACGAAGUAAAUUUGAAAUCAUAGUGUCACUCAAAUGCAUCUUUUCUUUGGUAUCUUCAAAUCAAAAAGGUACAAGUGUUACCUUCGUCACAAGAAAAAUCUCAACUAUAUCCCAAUUCUUUGGCAGUAUCGAAUGACAAUUUUUUUUUGCCAAUGUCAGUGGUCAGCGAGUGACAAGCGACGACCAUGACAUAUUAUUUUCUGCCUCCAUUUUUUGUAGGUUGGUGCUGAGGUUUCUGGUGCCCGUUGAAGCUCCAUUGAUGUAGUCUUCUUUCUCCUUUCCCCGUAUGAACAAGUAAGAUGACUAGACCAUUGUAAAUAAUUUUGUCCAUUCAGUUUAUGGGAGGAUCCCUGAAGAUAAGAGGUUUCCUCUAUAAAGGAUGAAGAUGAUGAGAUGUGCUAUCAGAAGAAGAGGAGGGUGAGUGGUAGCCAUUCGUAAGGUUGGAUCGUAUUUACGACAUGAAAUAGAAAAAGAGAAUCGAGUAGAAAAACUCGAACAUUGAUUGAAGAUGAAGAAAUUAUAUCAAUCUAGUAGAGUGCUAUUUUGUACAUCCACCUGGGUGAAUAUUACCCCAUUUAGAAUAGUAGACCCCGCAAUUUAGCCAAUCACAGAUAGGAUAUUGAUGUGGGUGAACAAAAUAGUACUCACAUAAUUAAACUGAAACAUUAGAAGAAGAGGAAGAAUGAGAAGCUAAAAAACCUUUAGCUUGGUGGACAUUAAUUUUUCAAAAAUUUCUCGGGUGGAAAAACUAUAUAAUUUGAAAAUAUUAGUAGCUUAUACUAUUAUUAUAAUGGGUUUUUACCUUGGGGUGGCGUUGGCGCCCUUCUAUCUCUAUCUCUCUCCCCUCAAUUCCUAAUUGUAGCCUUGUUGGUUUUAUUUUUCCCGUGACGCUUCAAUGGGUUUCGGUCCUGAUUCCAUUGUUGGUUGGGUUUUUUGAUGUUACUUUUUCUGGUUCUUCGAUUGGUGAUUACUGAUAUUUAUUUUUCCUUUUAUCUUAACCGUGAUGAUUUAUUUAUAUUGAAGAAGACAGUUUAAUGCUAGAGAGAUGCAGCAUAUCUCAAUGAAGCCUGUGAGUUGACACGAUCUAGAAUCUUAAGCAAUGAGGACGAGAAAGAGCUUGAUAGUGUUGAGCACAUUAUACGUCGGUCUUUGAUAGAAUACAACGAGCUGGUUAAGGAGAAGCAUCCGAUCUUCAAGCCUUGGUGGGAUCGUGUUAGCCGGGAACUUAAUGGUGCAGAAACUAAAUUGCUUUCUUUCAUGGAUUCAUGGAUGCCAAUUUCCGCGAUGCCACACGUAACUCCUGAAUUAGUCCAUGAGUGUCAGGCUGUUUGUGGUCUGCUUCACCUGGCCAUGGAAGCUAAGAACUUGUCUGGAAUUCCUAAGCUGCUCAGUGAGUUCAUUGACCUCCUCCACAAACUUGUGGGGGCCGAUUCCGAUUAAGUUUCAAAGACAAUUAGUGAAACUGUUGACAGCAUCAAGUAAGGAGGUAAAUUUACCAUAGUCCCCGUAGGCUGUCAAUAGAUGUUUGUGCUUGUUUCAAUUUUUUUUCUUGGGUUCCUUUGUUUUUGUUUGAUUUCCACUACUUGAAGUUCUAAUUUCAAUUCGUUGCAUUGGUAUAUAGGUUGCGAGGCCACCUUUCUGGCUUCCAAUUCCGUGGCUUCCUACUUUUUUCUGGGGAGUAUGCUGGGACCCAUCCUUGUACUGCUGCGUGAGAUGGUUUUGGGUCAGAUCACGUGACUAGUGCUAUGAUGAAACCAUGUUUUUCCGUCCUCGCUUGAAUACUUAUAAGCCAGGCGUGUUCCCAGAGGGUUUUCUCUUCUUGGGCGCCUACGUGGAUUGGUAAGGCGAACUUGCCAAAGCCAUCGCCGUGCAUCUAUAUGAUAAUGUUGGAACCGGCUAAUACGGGUGGACCUGUCAGAAUUCACAGAAUCUGCCUUGGGGAGACUUGUCGACCGCUGUGAGUUCUAUGCCGUACAGUGUUAUCUCUUUCGGCAAAAUUGAGAAGCCCCCUCCCUCGAUUUUGGACAUCCUCUUCAUAUUCUAAAUCAAGGUAGACUAAUUUGAUGGGCAAGGACGUAGCAUCGACUUCACUAAUACCAUGGUAUAUGACUUCAAAUGUGGGAGCAGAACAGCUCAAUUUGUUUUUGCAAAUGCUGCUUGCAUGAUUCGCGGAGUUUUUUUGGAAACAUGAUUGUUAACCUGAAGGGUAGCGGCCCUGAGCCGAGUAAUGAGAGUAGGAUUUUAUAGGUUUGAAAUCUCCUUUGUGGUUUUGUGUGGGAAUGCCGAGGGUUUCUUUUCAAGUGAUGACAAUCAAUAGUUUGGUGUCCAUAUGGCCUUUGCAGUCAAAAAAGUUCCUCAACCUGAGUUGCUGAAACUGUCUGGAUAAUUAUAUAUGUGUUUGAGAAUGGUUCAAAUAACCGUAUGCUAGGCUUAAAUUGAGGGACUGGCUAGUCAAUACUGAACGAAGGUUGUUGUAUACCCGUCUUAGGAACGUUAAAUGUAUUGUCUCUCGAGCUGCCUGUGAGUAUCCUUUAUCAUCUUUUGCAGUUGUUUAUUUUGAGUUGGAUCUGUUAAUACGUUUCAAUGUUGGUUUUUAGUAUUUUACCCGCGCCAUGCACGGGCUUGUUUUUGUAUGUUUUGCUUCCAGGAGUGUUUGUUUAUGUAAUUUCUAUAUAUAUACAUGCAUUCAAACAUCUACAUACAUACCAACGAAUGUACAUGCAUGUAAACAUCCACAAAUAUAUGUCGACUACUGACUACACAUGGUUGACCAUAUUUUCGGCACUCAAGGUAUAAUGGGUUUCUGGGUUUUGAAUUCUUAGAUCAAAUCUUAUGAACAAUCUAAGCAAUUUGAUGAAGCAGCCAAGAAAAUAAGUUUUGGACAGAUUCGCCAGAAUAA